UACGUAGGGUGCGAGCGUUGUCCGGAAUUAUUGGGCGUAAAGAGCUCGUAGGCGGUGUGUCGCGUCGGCCGUGAAAACCUGCAGCUUAACUGUGGGCGUGCGGUCGAUACGGGCAUCACUGGAGUUCGGCAGGGGAGACUGGAAUUCCUGGUGUAGCGGUGAAAUGCGCAGAUAUCAGGAGGAGCACCGGUGGCGAAGGCGGGUCUCUGGGCCGAUACUGACGCUGAGGUGCGAAAGCGUGGGGAGCAAACAGG
rnacentral:rRNA from 1 species